UGCAGGUUUGAGUAGGUCCCAACAACAGAUGGCCAACUCAUGACAUCCAGCAGCUCUGUGGCCCCACUGUCUCACACAGUCAAUGCAGUGAAGGGGAAGGAGAUCAGAGCUCACCUCUGUGGCUGAAGCAGCGUGACGCUAUCAGUCUCUAAGAGGAUCGACUCUGCAGACAACAAAGUCCUGGAUAUCUCUAAUCCCUUGGAUCCGUUAGAGGUCAUUCACACGGCACAUCCCGCAAAUCACUGCCCGGCACAACCCGCAGCACGACACCCCCCUGUCCGUCCAGCUCAUGUCCCGGUUCACCGCGGUGUUUCCCUCCUGGUCAGCCGCUCCAUUGUUCAUUAGCUGCUCCUCUUCUCGGCUCCAGCGGCUGCGCCUCGGAUCCACGGCUCAGACACUCCCAGAGCCGCGUGUACUGCGCAUGCGCCGUGCUCACAGGACGUGCUCACGCGUGACUGAUGCUGCAUUCAGGCGCUGCUCUGCUUCCAGCUCCACAUCAUAGAAAGGAGCCUCACAUCCAUACAUAUGAAGUGCUAAGAAAAUAAACCUCCUAUUCGUGUUUGGAAAAGAGAAGCAGAAUCUUAUACCAGCUCAUAGUCUCCCUGCGAUAAUAGAAAAGCAGUAAAAACAUUCAGUCUUUGCACCAAAUGUAUUAUAUUAUUUCAAUAUAUCUAUUUUUUUUAUUAUAUCUGUUUACUUUAUCACUCUGUAUUUGUUAAUGUGAACCUUUAUUAUUGUACAGUAUUUAUCUGUUUUUGUCUUUUUUUUAUGUUUAUGUGCUUUAAAUGGUUUUGUCAAUUUGUCAAUAAAGUUUGCUGCUUGCAAUGGGAAUAUAUAUAUAUAUAUAUAUAUAUUGAAUUGAAUAAAUAAGUAAUCAGGAGCCUUAUUCAAGCAGCAUAGACAAGUCCAAUAAAGAAAAAAGUUCCAGGGUAUUUCCGUAGAACAUUUGUGUCUAUUCUUUCAUCCGUUGAUAUGGGGCUUGAUUUAUAAAUUGUUACAUCUGAAUAAAGGAGUUCAAACAAAAUCAGGAUAUACCUAGAAAAAAUCUAGGUUUUUGUCCUUCAUACGUACUCUAGCUUUAAUCAACAUCCCACUCAUAGGUUUUGUCCUUAUUUCUCUGGAUCGAGCUGAAGACCAAAAUUCUUCUCAGUGAGAAGUAUUCAAAAAUAUGAGCCUGUCAUGGUGAAAUCAGAAAGUGAUAUUUUUUUUGUGAGGACCAUCCAGAAACAGUCCCAGCUUUUUCUGGCACUGUCCCAACCGAUUCUGGCAAGACUUUCGUUUUCAAUGUUUGCCAUUGACAAUGUUUUCAAAGACUGUUUUGUGAACUUAUUCGUCCUUUUGUACAUUAUCUAUCCAUAAAUGCUAAUUUAGUCAUACAAAUAAUUUUGUUCAAGAUGUUGAACAAUAUAUAAAUCAGAUUACUAAAUCUUAUGACAACAAAGCUAUCAAGCCCAUAACAUGUCAUUUU